AGUUUGAUCCUGGCUCAGAUUGAACGCUGACGGAAUGCUUUACACAUGCAAGUCGAGCGGCAGCGCGGGGGCAACCCUGGCGGCGAGCGGCGAACGGGUGAGUAAUACAUCGGAACGUACCCUGUCGUGGGGGAUAACCAACCGAAAGGUUGGCUAAUACCGCAUACGACCUGAGGGUGAAAGCGGGGGAUCGCAAGACCUCGCGCGAUAGGAGCGGCCGAUGUCAGAUUAGCUAGUUGGUGAGGUAAAGGCUCACCAAGGCGACGAUCUGUAGCGGGUCUGAGAGGACGGCCCGCCACACUGGAACUGUGACACGGUCCAGACUCCUACGGGAGGCAGCAGUGGGGAAUUUUGGACAAUGGGGGCAACCCUGAUCCAGCCAUUCCGCGUGAGUGAAGAAGGCCUUCGGGUUGUAAAGCUCUUUCGGCAGGAACGAAAAGGCUCUCUCUAACAUAGGGAGUCAAUGACGGUACCUGAAGAAGAAGCACCGGCUAACUACGUGCCAGCAGCCGCGGUAAUACGUAGGGUGCGAGCGUUAAUCGGAAUUACUGGGCGUAAAGCGUGCGCAGGCGGUUUUGUAAGACAGAUGUGAAAUCCCCGGGCUUAACCUGGGAACUGCGUUUGUGACUGCAAGACUUGAGUGCAGCAGAGGGGGGUGGAAUUCCACGUGUAGCAGUGAAAUGCGUAGAGAUGUGGAGGAACACCGAUGGCGAAGGCAGCCCCCUGGGUUGACACUGACGCUCAUGCACGAAAGCGUGGGUAGCAAACAGGAUUAGAUACCCUGGUAGUCCACGCCCUAAACGAUGCGAACUAGGUGUUGGAGGAGGAGACUUCUUUAGUACCGCAGCUAACGCGUGAAGUUCGCCGCCUGGGGAGUACGGUCGCAAGAUUAAAACUCAAAGGAAUUGACGGGGACCCGCACAAGCGGUGGAUGAUGUGGAUUAAUUCGAUGCAACGCGAAAAACCUUACCUACCCUUGGCAUGCCUGGAAUCCUGCUGAGAGGUGGGAGUGCCCGAAAGGGACCGGGACACAGUGCUGCAUGGCUGUCGUCAGCUCGUGUCGUGAGAUGUGGGUAAGUCCCGCACGAGCGCACCCUGUCAUAGUGCCAUCAUUUAGUGGCACUCUAUGAGAACUGCGGUGACAACCGGAAGAAGGUGGGGCAUGA
rnacentral:rRNA from 1 species